UACGUAGGGGGCGAGCGUUGUCUGGAAUUACUGGGCGUAAAGGGCGCGCAGGCGGCCGUGUAAGUCCGCUGUGAAAGACCGGGGCUCAACCCCGGGGUGUCAGCGGGGACUGCACGGCUGGAGUCCCGGAGAGGGAGGCGGAAUACCUGGUGUAGCGGUGGAAUGCGUAGAGAUCAGGUGGAACACCGAUGGCGAAGGCAGCCUCCUGGACGGGUACUGACGCUGAGGCGCGAAAGCGUGGGGAGCGAACGGG
rnacentral:rRNA from 1 species